rnacentral:lncRNA from 1 species
GAUGAUAAAAAUCUCCAUUCUUAUUGGCCAAAAAUCAUGCUCAAUGGACUUCAAGGAGGUUGUUCAAGGCCUUAUUAGGAAUUAGGGUUAUUCUUGUAUAGCCACUCGAGCUUUGGAGGCUAUGAUCAGCAAGUUUAGAAUUUUGGCUAUGAUUUUGGUGAAAAUUUUAUGUGAUUUGGAGUUUAUAUGAUAGAGAUAUAGAUGAUCAAAGUUAAGGUAUUGAUUUUGUAUCUACUAUCACUCUAUUAGACAUAACAUGUCCGUACAGAAAGUAAUAAAGGAUUGGCGACUAGGUUGGAGGGAGCACUUUCUUGGCUACACUUUUGGCAUAUUUUUUGAUGG